UACGUAGGGUGCGAGCGUUAAUCGGGAUUACUGGGCGUAAAGCGUGCGCAGGCGGUUUUGUAAGCCAGAUGUGAAAGCCCCGGGCUUAACCUGGGAAUGGCAUUUGGGACUGCAAGGCUUGAGUGCGGCAGAGGAGACUGGAAUUCCCGGUGUAGCAGUGAAAUGCGUAGAUAUCGGGAGGAAUACCGAUGGCGAAGGCAGGUCUCUGGGCUGACACUGACGCUCAUGCACGAAAGCGUGGGGAGCAAACAGG
rnacentral:rRNA from 1 species